rnacentral:rRNA from 1 species
UACGGAGGGUGCAAGCGUUAUCCGGAUUCACUGGGUUUAAAGGGUGCGUAGGCGGAUAGGUAAGUCCGUGGUGAAAUCCUGCAGCUUAACUGCAGAACUGCCGUGGAUACUAUCUAUCUUGAAUGUCGUGGAGGUUAGCGGAAUAUGUCAUGUAGUGGUGAAAUGCUUAGAUAUGACAUAGAACACCCAUUGCGAAGGCAGCUAACUACGCGAUAAUUGACGCUGAUGCACGAAAGCGUGGGGAUCAAACAGG